UACGUAGGGUGCGAGCGUUGUCCGGAAUUAUUGGGCGUAAAGAGCUUGUAGGCGGUUUGUCGCGUCUGCUGUGAAAUUCCAGGGCUUAACCCUGGGCUUGCAGUGGGUACGGGCAGACUAGAGUGUGGUAGGGGAGACUGGAAUUCCUGGUGUAGCGGUGAAAUGCGCAGAUAUCAGGAGGAACACCGAUGGCGAAGGCAGGUCGCUGGGCCACUACUGACGCUGAGAAGCGAAAGCAUGGGGAGCGAACAGG
rnacentral:rRNA from 1 species